rnacentral:rRNA from 1 species
GAUGAACGCUGGCGGCGUGCAUAACACAUUCAAGUCGAACGGUGAUUUCCUUCGGGAAUGAUCAGUGGCGGACGGGUGAGUAACGCGUGAGCAACCUGCCCUUGUGUGGGGGAUAACAUCUGGAAACGGAUGAUAAUACCGCAUAACGCAACGGAAUCGCAUGUUUCCGUUGCCAAAGAUUUAUCGCUGAAAGAUGGCCUCGCGUCUGAUUAGAUAGUUGGUGAGGUAACGGCUCACCAAGUCUGCGAUCAGUAGCCGGACUGAGAGGUUGAACGGCCACAUUGGGACUGAGACACGGCCCAGACUCCUACGGGAGGCAGCAGUGGGGGAUAUUGCGCAAUGGGGGCAACCCUGACGCAGCAACGCCGCGUGAAGGAAGAAGGUUUUCGGAUCGAAACUCUUUAAGUGGGGAAGAUAGU